rnacentral:rRNA from 1 species
AAUAGAUACCCAGGUAGUCCCAGCCGUAAACGAUGCUCGCUAGGUGUCAGGCAUGGCGCGACCGUGUCUGGUGCCGCAGGGAAGCCGUGAAGCGAGCCACCUGGGAAGUACGGCCGCAAGGCUGAAACUUAAAGGAAUUGGCGGGGGAGCACAACAACGGGUGGAGCCUGCGGUUUAAUUGGACUCAACGCCGGACAACUCACCGGGGGCGACAGCAAUAUGUAGGCCAAGCUGAAGACUUUGCCUGAAUCGCUGAGAGGAGGUGCAUGGCCGUCGCCAGUUCGUACUGUGAAGCAUCCUGUUAAGUCAGGCAACGAGCGAGACCCGUGCCCACUGUUACCAGCAUGUCCUCCGGGACGAUGGGUACUCUGUGGGGACCGCCGAUGUUAAAUCGGAGGAAGGUGCGGGCCACGGUAGGUCAGCAUGCCCCGAAUCUCCCGAGCUACACGCGGGCUACAAUGGAUGGGACAAUGGGUCCCUCCCCUGAAAAGGGCUGGUAAUCUCACAAACCCAUUCGUAGUUCGGAUCGAGGG